rnacentral:lncRNA from 1 species
CCUGCCGCCACCACCCCUUUCCUGCCGCCACCACCCCCUACCUCCUUCUCCCUCUCCUCGCACGGCCCGCGGAGCGCUCACCGCCGCCCGGCAACCCCCCGCCGCGCCUCUCCGUGCCUCUUUCAGACCGCGGCCGCUGAGGAGGGCAGAGGUUACAUCACGCCUCAGGGGAGGGGGGGGAGCGGCUCCGCCCCGCCCCUCAGAGCCGACUGUGACGUCAGCGCACGUCCUCUGGGUUAGCGCGUGGGGGACCGUUGGUCGCGGCGCGCGCUCGCGGGCUCAGGAGGGGCGCGCGACGAGGCCGCCAACAGCCGUUAACGGUCGCUGCGCGCGCUCGGCCCCGCUGAGGAGAGGAGCGCGGGGCAGGGCGGCGCGAGGCGGCGCGAAGGGGUGGGGCGCGUUGCCGGGGAGCGCCGUACACAGAUCCCAAACAGCGCCGGGACACGGGGUGCGGAGCUCCGUCACGAGGCGCUCCGCCCCGCCGGUCGCGGGAGGCCUCGAGGAGCGAGCGCCCGAGCGAGGGAACGCGGCGCGGCCGGGCGAGCCCCGCGCCCCGGAGGCAGCGGGCUGCGAUGCGGAGGCAGCGGCGGGAGGCGCCGGGCCAGCCGGGACGGAGCUCCUUACAUAAGCGAGGAGUGCCCGUGUCCCGCUCCCCGAUCUUGUACACGCCCCGGGCUUUCGAAACUGUCCCCGCGCGGCUGCGGGACGUGCCGGGUCGCAGAGCGCGGCGCGGGUGGGAGCGGAGCGGUGCUGCCUUCCUCCUGCAGUUAGCGACCGCUGGAAUCGCCACAGAAAGGUGUAACACAAAGAGACUCUGAGGCGUUCAAGGCUUUUCCCAGACAAGAUGCCUUCUCAGCCAAAAUUUGAAGUCCUGAUGGAAAGGGGAGGAGGAUGAAAUACCUUACCUGCCAAAAUUCUUUCUGAAGGGUAGCAGGAAACUCACAUUCUCUCAAUGCACAUCUUCAGCAAAAAGUGUGCACAGCCAGUACACAAAUAAUGGAAGAUAGAUCUAUCUGAAAAAGGCCUCAGGAAGUCAUCUUUGCCAUUACCUUAUCUCCAGGUAGGACUGA